GACAGAAAACAGCUGACUGACGAUAAACUACAGCGGGGACUAAUGAUUGUUACGACUCCUGUAUGAGGACACAACACACUGCUGGGGCCACAGAACUGUUGGCUGAUGAGACACUCAUGAUUCAUGAAAUGGGUCAAAUGCAGAUGACAAAGUAAGGCCACACUGCACUGGAGGUGCUGAACCAGACUCCUGCCACAGAUUAGGACCUGACUUUGAACCUAUCAGACAUAAGGCCCAUUCUGCUCUUCCUCCUCCAGAAGACAAGAGAUACAUCAGACUGAGUGGCCC